rnacentral:lncRNA from 1 species
GUGAGGGGGACCGGGUCCAGCCGGCGGGGGGGUCGGGAGUGUGUGGGAUGCCGGUGUUCGGCGGUGCCACGGGUGACGGGGCCGUUUGUGUGGGGGUCGCUGCCAGGACGCUUGGCCGGCGCCUUUCGGAGCGCGGGAGAGGCGUGGUGCGGGGCGGGACAUCGGCGGCGUUGGCGGCAGCGGCCUAUGGAGGAGACGUGUCGGUCGGUUGGAGGGCGGCAAGGGUGGUUCGACCCUUGAGAAGGGAGAGGCGCGCUGUUUUGGCGGAGGCCAUGGAGAUGUGUGAGGGCGAAUGGACUGAGAGGCCACUUAACGGUCAUCCGGCGGGGGAGGUGCCUGACCCAUG